GGCGUGCUUAACACAUGCAAGUCGAACGGUGAUGGCCAGCUUGCUGGUCUGAUCAGUGGCGAACGGGUGAGUAACACGUGAGCAACCUGCCCCUGACUCUGGGAUAACGACCGGAAACGGUCGCUAAUACCGGAUAUGAGACGUACAGGCAUCUGUUGCGUCUGGAAAGUUUUUCGGUCAGGGAUGGGCUCGCGGCCUAUCAGCUUGUUGGUGGGGUAACGGCCUACCAAGGCGACGACGGGUAGCCGGCCUGAGAGGGCGACCGGCCACACUGGGACUGAGACACGGCCCAGACUCCUACGGGAGGCAGCAGUGGGGAAUAUUGCACAAUGGGCGCAAGCCUGAUGCAGCGACGCCGCGUGAGGGAUGACGGCCUUCGGGUUGUAAACCUCUUUCAGCAGGGAAGAAGCGCAAGUGACGGUACCUGCAGAAGAAGCGCCGGCUAACUACGUGCCAGCAGCCGCGGUAAUACGUAGGGCGCAAGCGUUGUCCGGAAUUAUUGGGCGUAAAGAGCUCGUAGGCGGUCUGUCGCGUCUGCUGUGAAAACCUCAGGCUCAACCUGGGGCUUGCAGUGGGUACGGGCAGACUAGAGUGCGGUAGGGGUGACUGGAAUUCCUGGUGUAGCGGUGGAAUGCGCAGAUAUCAGGAGGAACACCGAUGGCGAAGGCAGGUCACUGGGCCGCAACUGACGCUGAGGAGCGAAAGCAUGGGGAGCGAACAGGAUUAGAUACCCUGGUAGUCCAUGCCGUAAACGUUGGGCACUAGGUGUGGGGCUCAUUCCACGAGCUCUGUGCCGCAGCAAACGCAUUAAGUGCCCCGCCUGGGGAGUACGGCCGCAAGGCUAAAACUCAAAGAAAUUGACGGGGGCCCGCACAAGCGGCGGAGCAUGCGGAUUAAUUCGAUGCAACGCGAAGAACCUUACCAAGGCUUGACAUACACCGGAAAAGUGCAGAGAUGUGCUCCCCGUAAGGUCGGUGUACAGGUGGUGCAUGGUUGUCGUCAGCUCGUGUCGUGAGAUGUUGGGUUAAGUCCCGCAACGAGCGCAACCCUCGUCCCAUGUUGCCAGCGGGUUAUGCCGGGGACUCAUGGGAGACUGCCGGGGUCAACUCGGAGGAAGGUGGGGAUGACGUCAAAUCAUCAUGCCCCUUAUGUCUUGGGCUUCACGCAUGCUACAAUGGCCGGUACAAAGGGCUGCGAUACCGCGAGGUGGAGCGAAUCCCAAAAAGCCGGUCUCAGUUCGGAUUGGGGUCUGCAACUCGACCCCAUGAAGUCGGAGUCGCUAGUAAUCGCAGAUCAGCAACGCUGCGGUGAAUACGUUCCCGGGCCUUGUACACACCGCCCGUCAAGUCACG
rnacentral:rRNA from 1 species